UGUAGCUGUCAAAAUAAUGGGUAAUUCAAAAUUUUCAAUAAAGGGUAAUAUGUGCCCAUUUACAAGUAUGCUGAGGUUACCCUUUAAUGGGUGAAAAUUGUCUUUCGCAUGAUUAUUGAUAAAACCGGCAUCUGUGUGACCUGAAGCAGUCUGUUUAUAUGAAGAGAUGGUGCGAAACAUUAAAAACGAGCUGCGUAUAAUCAGCUUAAAAUAACGUCCGGACGCCUGAUUCCCGAACAACUCGAGUGAAGGACGAAACUACUGUGCCAUGAUGUUCCAGGGAGAAAAGUUGUUCAUUAGGAUCCAGCCAAUGUCAUUAAUCUUCGCCCGCCCUGAGAUGAUGUGUUUGUUUCGAGUAUUAUUAUUUUCAUUGGUGAAUAAAGUUAAAUUACGUGUCAAUC